rnacentral:tRNA from 1 species
GCGCCCGUAGCUCAAUGGAUAGAGCGACCGGCUUCUACCCGGUUGGCUGGGGGUUCAAGUCCCUCCGGGCGCA